UUCUGGCUCAGGAUGAACGCUAGCGACAGGCCUAACACAUGCAAGUCGAGGGGCAGCACAAGGAGCAAUCUGAGGUGGCGACCGGCGCACGGGUGAGUAACACGUAUGCAACCUGCCUGUAAGCGGGGAAUAACCCGUUGAAAGACGGACUAAUACCGCAUAAUACUAAAUUACUGCAUGGUAAUUUAUUUAAACAUUUAUGGCUUACAGAUGGGCAUGCGCAUGAUUAGCUAGUUGGAGAGGUAACGGCUCCCCAAGGCAACGAUCAUUAGGGGUUCUGAGAGGAAGGUCCCCCACACUGGUACUGAGACACGGUCCAAACUCCUACGGGAGGCAGCAGUGAGGAAUAUUGGUCAAUGGACGAGAGUCUGAACCAGCCAAAGUAGCGUGAAGGAUGACCGCCCUAUGGGUUGUAAACUUCUUUUAUAAGGGAAUAAAGUGAGGGACGUGUCCCUUUUUGUAUGUACCUUAUGAAUAAGGAUCGGCUAACUCCGUGCCAGCAGCGGC
rnacentral:rRNA from 1 species